rnacentral:rRNA from 1 species
GACGAACGCUGGCGGCGUGCCUAAUACAUGCAAGUCGAACGCAGUGGGGACGGGUGAGUAACACGUGGGUAACCUCCCAUCAGAGGGGAUAACUCUUGGAAACAGGUGCUAAACCGAUACUGAUGGAUGGUCCCGCGGUGCAUUAGCUAGUUGGUGGGGAAACGGCUCACCAAGGCCACGAUGCAUAGCCGACCUGAGAGGAUGAGCGGACACACGGGGACUGAGACACGGCCCAGACUCCUACGGGAGGCAGCAGUAGGGAAUCUUCGGCAAUGGACGAAAGUCUGACGGAGCAACGCCGCGGGAGUGAAGAAGGUUUUCGGAUCGUAAAGCUCUGUUGUUAGAGAAGCGGUAUCUAACCAGAAAGCCACGGCUAACUACGUGCCAGCAGACGCGGUAAUAC